AUUGAACGCUGGCGGAAUGCUUUACACAUGCAAGUCGAACGAGUGGCGGACGGGUGAGUAAUGUCUGGGAAACUGCCCGAUGGAGGGGGAUAACUACUGGAAACGGUAGCUAAUACCGCAUACUAUCGGAUGUGCCCAUAUGGGAUUAGCUAGGAGGUGGGGUAACGGCUCACCUAGGCAACGAUCCAUAGCUGGUUUGGUAGGAUGACCAGCCAAACUGGAACUGAGACACGGUCCAGACUCCUACGGGAGGCAGCAGUGGGGAAUAGUGCACAAUGGGCGCAAGCCUGAUGCAGCCAUGCCGCGUGUAUGAAGAAGGCCUUCGGGUUGUAAAGUACUUUCAGCGAGGAGGCGUUACUCGCAGAAGAAGCACCGGCUAACUCCGUGCCAGCCGCCGCGGUAAUUC
rnacentral:rRNA from 1 species